rnacentral:rRNA from 1 species
UAUCUCUGUAGAGUCUGCAUAUCAAUAAGCGGAGGAAAAGAAACUAACUAGGAUUCCCUCAGUAACGGCGAGUGAAGCGGGAAGAGCUCAAAUUUGAAAUCUUCAAGGUCCUACCUUGACGAAUUGUAGUUUAAAGAAGUGUUUUCUGUUAGAGUUUGAGUAGCAAAGUUCCUUGGAAUAGGGACAUCAUAGAGGGUGAGAAUCCCGUAUUUGACCUAUUAUUUCCAGCUUUGUGAUACACUUUCAAAGAGUCGGAUUGUUUGGGAAUGCAGUCCAAAAUGGGUGGUAAAUUUCAUCUAAAGCUAAAUACUGGCGAGAGACCGAUAGCGAACAAGUACCGUGAGGGAAAGAUGAGAAGAACUUUGAAAAGAGAGUUAAACAGUACGUGAAAUUGUCAAAAGGGAAGCGUUUGACACCAGUGUUGUUUUUCCGAAAAUCAAUUACGAAUGGCUUGAUUCUGUGUUGUAUUGACCUUAUCAGCUUUCUUCACUUUUUUCGAGUCUUUCUUAAUGCACUUUUCGGUUAACAAGUCAACAUCAAUUUCUUUUGUUGUAAAAGAGUAUUCGGAAGGUGGCUUUCUUUUCGGAGAAAGUGUUUAUAGCCCUAUACUUCUACAAUCGGAGAGAUUGAGGUCUGCAGCGUAGAUCCUUCGGGGUUAGAUAUAUUUGUGCUAAGUUGUAGCUUUUCAUAGACAACUUGUUGACUAUGUUUAGUCAUGCGGCUUACUCGCUUAUGCUAUUUUACCUACGCUUAGGAUGUUGAAGAUGUAGCACAUCAU